GGGUUGAGCAGACUAAGGAUGAUGAGGUUAUUACUGGAUAUGACAGUGAUGAUGAGAGUAAAAUAUCAAGAUUAGUGGGUGGCCAAGUGCAGGUGCAAGAAGAUGCCAUCCAGUCAGGACCAGUGCUAGUUCCAGCAGGGGUGGCUGGAAGAACUAUGAGACUCAAAGUGAAGACCAUGAAGUUGGGGGAG